CGGGGUGAGUAACGCGUGGGUAACCUGCCUCAUACAGGGGGAUAACAGUUAGAAAUGACUGCUAAUACCGCAUAAGCGCACAGUGCUGCAUGGCACAGUGUGAAAAACUCCGGUGGUAUGAGAUGGACCCGCGUCUGAUUAGCUAGUUGGUGGGGUAACGGCCUACCAAGGCGACGAUCAGUAGCCGGCCUAAGAGGGUGAACGGCCACAUUGGGACUGAGACACGGCCCAA
rnacentral:rRNA from 1 species